rnacentral:misc_RNA from 1 species
GAUGAAGAACGCAGCGAAAUGCGAUAACUAAUGUGAAUUGCAGAAUUCAGUGAAUCAUCGAGUCUUUGAACGCACAUUGCGCCCCCUGGUAUUCCGGGGGGCAUGCCUGUCCGAGCGUCAUUGCUGCCCUCAAGCACGGCUUGUGUGUUGGGCUCCGUCCCCCCGGGGACGGGCCCGAAAGGCAGCGGCGGCACCGAGUCCGGUCCUCGAGCGUAUGGGGCUUUGUCACCCGCUCUGUAGGCCCGGCCGGCGCCAGCCGACAACCCAUCAUCCUUUUCAGGUUGACCUCGCAUCAGGUAGGGAUACCCGCUGAACUUAAGCAUAUCAAUAAGCGGAGGA